CCUACGGGGGGCAGCAGUGGGGAAUAUUGCACAAUGGGCGCAAGCCUGAUGCAGCCAUGCCGCGUGUGUGAAGAAGGCCUUCGGGUUGUAAAGCACUUUCAGCGGGGAGGAAGGCGUUAAGGUUAAUAACCUUGGCGAUUGACGUUACCCGCAGAAGAAGCACCGGCUAACUCCGUGCCAGCAGCCGCGGUAAUACGGAGGGUGCAAGCGUUAAUCGGAAUUACUGGGCGUAAAGCGCACGCAGGCGGUCUGUCAAGUCGGAUGUGAAAUCCCCGGGCUCAACCUGGGAACUGCAUUCGAAACUGGCAGGCUAGAGUCUUGUAGAGGGGGGUAGAAUUCCAGGUGUAGCGGUGAAAUGCGUAGAGAUCUGGAGGAAUACCGGUGGCGAAGGCGGCCCCCUGGACAAAGACUGACGCUCAGGUGCGAAAGCGUGGGGAGCAAACAGGAGUAGAUACCCUGGUAGUC
rnacentral:rRNA from 1 species